GACGAACGCUGGCGGCGUGCCUAAUACAUGCAAGUAGAACGCUGAAGAGAGGAGCUUGCUCUUCUUGGAUGAGUUGCGAACGGGUGAGUAACGCGUAGGUAACCUGCCUUGUAGCGGGGGAUAACUAUUGGAAACGAUAGCUAAUACCGCAUAACAAUGGAUGACACAUGUCAUUUAUUUGAAAGGGGCAAUUGCUCCACUACAAGAUGGACCUGCGUUGUAUUAGCUAGUAGGUGAGGUAACGGCUCACCUAGGCGACGAUACAUAGCCGACCUGAGAGGGUGAUCGGCCACCCUGGGACUGAGACACGGCCCAGACUCCUACGGGAGGCAGCAGUAGGGAAUCUUCGGCAAUGGGGGCAACCCUGACCGAGCAACGCCGCGUGAGUGAAGAAGGUUUUCGGAUCGUAAAGCUCUGUUGUAAGUCAAGAACGAGUGUGAGAGUGGAAAGUUUACACUGUGACGGUAGCUUACCAGAAAGGGACGGCUAACUACGUG
rnacentral:rRNA from 1 species